UACGAAGGGGGCGGGCGUUGUUCGGAUUUACUGGGCGUAAAGGGCGCGUAGGCGGCCCUCCUAGUCGCGUGUGAAAGCCCCGGGCUCAACCUGGGAAUUGCGCGCGAAACGGGGGGGCUUGAGUUCGGGAGAGGAGCGUGGAAUUCCCAGUGUAGAGGUGAAAUUCGUAGAUAUUGGGUGGAACACCGGUGGCGAAAGCGGCUCUCUGGCCCGGAUCUGACGCUGAGGCGCGAAAGCGUGGGGAGCAAACAGG
rnacentral:rRNA from 1 species